rnacentral:rRNA from 1 species
CACGUAGGUGGCAAGCGUUAUCCGGAAUUACUGGGCGUAAAGGGUCCGCAGGUGGGAGGGUCAGUCUGUGGUGACAGCCCCUGGCUUAACUGGGGGAGGCCCAUGGAUACUGCCCUUCUUGAGUCACGGAGAGGGAAGCGGAAUUCCCGGUGUAGUGGUGAAAUGCGUAGAUAUCGGGAGGAACACCAGUGGCGAAGGCGGCUUCCUGGCCUGUUCUUGACGCUGAGGCGCGAAAGCUAGGGGAGCGAACAGG